ACGAACGCUGGCGGCGUGCCUAAUACAUGCAAGUCGAACGCUUCUUUUUCCACCGGAGCUUGCUCCACCGGAAAAAGAGGAGUGGCGAACGGGUGAGUAACACGUGGGUAACCUGCCCAUCAGAAGGGGAUAACACUUGGAAACAGGUGCUAAUACCGUAUAACAAUCGAAACCGCAUGGUUUUGAUUUGAAAGGCGCUUUCGGGUGUCGCUGAUGGAUGGACCCGCGGUGCAUUAGCUAGUUGGUGAGGUAACGGCUCACCAAGGCGACGAUGCAUAGCCGACCUGAGAGGGUGAUCGGCCACAUUGGGACUGAGACACGGCCCAAACUCCUACGGGAGGCAGCAGUAGGGAAUCUUCGGCAAUGGACGAAAGUCUGACCGAGCAACGCCGCGUGAGUGAAGAAGGUUUUCGGAUCGUAAAACUCUGUUGUUAGAGAAGAACAAGGAUGAGAGUAACUGUUCAUCCCUUGACGGUAUCUAACCAGAAAGCCACGGCUAACUACGUGCCAGCAGCCGCGGUAAUACGUAGGUGGCAAGCGUUGUCCGGAUUUAUUGGGCGUAAAGCGAGCGCAGGCGGUUUCUUAAGUCUGAUGUGAAAGCCCCCGGCUCAACCGGGGAGGGUCAUUGGAAACUGGGAGACUUGAGUGCAGAAGAGGAGAGUGGAAUUCCAUGUGUAGUGGUGAAAUGCGUAGAUAUAUGGAGGAACACCAGUGGCGAAGGCGGCUCUCUGGUCUGUAACUGACGCUGAGGCUCGAAAGCGUGGGGAGCAAACAGGAUUAGAUACCCUGGUAGUCCACGCCGUAAACGAUGAGUGCUAAGUGUUGGAGGGUUUCCGCCCUUCAGUGCUGCAGCUAACGCAUUAAGCACUCCGCCUGGGGAGUACGACCGCAAGGUUGAAACUCAAAGGAAUUGACGGGGGCCCGCACAAGCGGUGGAGCAUGUGGUUUAAUUCGAAGCAACGCGAAGAACCUUACCAGGUCUUGACAUCCUUUGACCACUCUAGAGAUAGAGCUUCCCCUUCGGGGGCAAAGUGACAGGUGGUGCAUGGUUGUCGUCAGCUCGUGUCGUGAGAUGUUGGGUUAAGUCCCGCAACGAGCGCAACCCUUAUUGUUAGUUGCCAUCAUUUAGUUGGGCACUCUAGCAAGACUGCCGGUGACAAACCGGAGGAAGGUGGGGAUGACGUCAAAUCAUCAUGCCCCUUAUGACCUGGGCUACACACGUGCUACAAUGGGAAGUACAACGAGUCGCAAAGUCGCGAGGCUAAGCUAAUCUCUUAAAGCUUCUCUCAGUUCGGAUUGUAGGCUGCAACUCGCCUACAUGAAGCCGGAAUCGCUAGUAAUCGCGGAUCAGCACGCCGCGGUGAAUACGUUCCCGGGCCUUGUACACACCGCCCGUCACACCACGAGAGUUUGUAACACCCGAAGUCGGUGAGGUAACCUUUUGGAGCCAGCCGCCUAAGGUGGGAUAGAUGAUUGGGGUG
rnacentral:rRNA from 1 species